AUGUUGUGGCUUUAACAUUUUAUGCAACUAUUUAUGAGGACCUCUGUUGUAACUGUAAUAAAUAUAUAGAAAAAGCACAUACUUAGUACGGCGAGCUUUAUGGUUUUGUUUGUGUGUUUGGGGUUUUUGGGUGGGCAGGGGAGGGUGUUGUACCACACUGUCAUUAUUAGUUUAAGAUGAGGGUUAGCGUAGAAUUUAGUCAAGACUAGUCAGUUUUAAGGAUUGUUUAAAAGAGAGAGAGAGAGAGAGAGAGAGAGAGAGAGAGAGAGAGAUUCGUAUCCCAAAUCUCCAACCAGUUAAAAAAUAGGGUGACACUUUUUAAAAUUUAUUAUUAUAUUCAAAAUGCCAAAGUAUGACUUUCCCAAAAUCAGUCUCAACACUUGCUACUUUUUAAGAAUUUUCAAAGCUGUUUACUUCUUUCUGUGAAAUGAACAAAUGACUUUUGUGCUCUUUGGUGAAGAAUUACAUUCAAAAAAGUAGUGGUCAGAUGAUGAGAGUCUGACACGUAAUGUAAUUGUCUUAGUAACUGUUUUUAAGGUUGAAGUAAUAUUAACGUGAGCUAUUUAAGAAGACAGAGAUGGUUUUCUGUGCAUCACUGAGUUCAUAUGGGUGUGCUGUCAUCUAUGUUUGUGUGAAAUGCCAUGUUUAAAGAAACCAAGCCGACGUCCCACAGUAGUUAGAUACAUGGGUCUUAAGCCAUAACCUAGCUUGGGUUAGUUUUGAGCUUUGCGGCUUCCACUGUAUUCUAUUUAUUCCUUUUUUUUUUUUUUUUUUUUUUUUUUGUAAAGUUGUACAGAAACUUUUUAAAAGAAAACAACUGACUUCAGAACUGGAUGUGUAUUCGUACCAACCUCAUAUCAUUAUGUUUGUGUAUUAUUUUCCUUUAUUGUUUUAGUUAAAUUUUUGCUUUAUUUUGCAUGUAUAUUUCUUUGUACAGUGACGUUACAUGUUUACACAGUAUGACGUGAUGUAAAUACUUUAUUUUGCCAUCAGUUAUUUUGAAAAAAAUUAAACAUAUUUGACAUAUUUGUCUGAUCUCUUGCUUUAAGGAGUUUGAAAGUAGGUUUGGUUAUAUUUUAAUUUGGCUCUGUAUUGGGGAAAAAAAAAAAAAGUACAUUGUUUUAUUGCCAUAGAAUUCAUUUUAAUUUGCAAUGAUGUAUCUUUAUUUCAUGCCUUACAAAAUAAUAUUUGCCUUUGCUCUAAGUGUUGAGUGCUUUGUAGCGUCCUGAUUGCUUUCAUAUAAAACAUGCAUAACGCUGUGACUGUGGAAAUUCAUUACAGUCUUUAUUAGCCAGUAAAUUCUGAUCAGCAGAGUUUUCUUCCAGAUGUUCCCAAUUAAAGACCAAAGGAUUACGAUUUGGUUUAAUAUUAAGCCAGGGAACAAAUUUCCC
rnacentral:lncRNA from 1 species